rnacentral:rRNA from 1 species
GACGAACGCUGGCGGCGUGCCUAAUACAUGCAAGUUGAGCGCUGAAGGUUGGUACUUGUACCAACUGGAUGAGCAGCGAACGGGUGAGUAACGCGUGGGGAAUCUGCCUUUGAGCGGGGGACAACAUUUGGAAACGAAUGCUAAUACCGCAUAAAAACUUUAAACACAAGUUUUAAGAUUGAAAGAUGCAAUUGCAUCACUCAAAGAUGAUCCCGCGUUGUAUUAGCUAGUUGGUGAGGUAAAGGCCCACCAAGGCGAUGAUACAUAGCCGAACUUGGAGGGUGAUCGGCCAAAUUGGGAAUGGGACACGGCCCCAAACUCUUCGGGAGGCAGCAGGAGGGGAACUUCGGCAAAGGACGGAAGUCUGAACGAGCAACGCCGCGGGAGGGAAGAAGGUUCUCGGAUCGUAAAACUCCGUUGGUAGGGAAGAAAGUUAUUGAGAGGGGAAAGCUCAUCAAGUGACGGUAACUACUCAGAAAGCGACGGCUAACUACGUG